rnacentral:rRNA from 1 species
AUGUCUAUGGCCACUGCAUUGCGUGUUUCUCAGGACCAUUGUACUUCCCUCUGGAGGUCGGUGACCAGUCACUUGGCUCUUCGCGGGUACUCCCACACGCUGCGGAGGGCCAUGACAGAAAUUGUGCCGCCCCGAAUUUUUUGCGAAGGCGCAAGGAAGAUCAUCAACCGUGAAUUUGUUGUCGCGACCGUGCCUUACACCAACCGCACUCACAAGGUCAUCUUCUCUACUAGAACAGCGCGCGUGAGCGGAGAGGUCCGCUUUGCCAAUUUCAAGAAGGAGCAUGCCUCCGAGAUCGUAGACCCACACCACCACCAAAGUGUCCGUGUGCACGCCAUUGGCUCGAAGAUCAUCCGCGCUAUCCGUCGUGGCUUGUCCAUCAAGAGCAAGAUAGAACAACGAGGAGGGGAACCACCACACAUGGCGACGUGUCUGGAUUGGAUCGACGAGCUCAAUUGGGAGGUGAUAGUUGCCGUACACAGCAAGAGAGCACAUUGCUUUGAGGGUGGUGGUAAGAUUAUAGUCUUCACGGGAUUACUUGAUCAUUUCAGCACGGAUGCUGAGAUUGCCACCGUCAUCGCGCAUGAGGUUGGACAUGUUAUUGCGAGGCACGCGUCUGAGAUGAUCCAAAUAUUCAGGUUGUGGUUCCCAACCGACCUCCUCGUGGCGCCACUGCUACGAAGGAAUGAGCUAGAGGCGGACUACAUUGGAAUGAUGCUACUGGCUGCUGCUGGUUUCGACCCCCACGCUGCCCCUUUGUUCUUUGGCAAGGCAGGAAGGAUGGACGGCGAGUCGGCGUUGACAGAUUUGCUCUCUUUCUUCCCAUUCAGAACUCAUCCAUCAAUGAGGAGAAGAGCAUGGCUUUUAUCACACCCCAAAGUCAUGGAGGAGGCAAUGGAAAUAUACAGAGAAGCAACAGGUGAUGGGCCCCACAAUCAAGGAUUUGGUUUGUCUUAA